GACGAACGCUGGCGGCGUGCUUAACACAUGCAAGUCGAACGGUGAAAGCGGAGCUUGCUCCGCUGGAUCAGUGGCGAACGGGUGAGUAACACGUGGGCAACCUGCCCCUCACUUCGGGAUAACUCUGGGAAACCGGGGCUAAUACCGGAUAUGACCUCCUUGGGCAUCCUUGGAGGUGGAAAGUUUUUCGGUGAGGGAUGGGCCCGCGGCCUAUCAGCUUGUUGGUGAGGUAGUGGCUCACCAAGGCGACGACGGGUAGCCGGCCUGAGAGGGCGACCGGCCACACUGGGACUGAGACACGGCCCAGACUCCUACGGGAGGCAGCAGUGGGGAAUAUUGCGCAAUGGGCGAAAGCCUGACGCAGCAACGCCGCGUGCGGGAUGACGGCCUUCGGGUUGUAAACCGCUUUCAGCAGGGAAGAAGCCGCAAGGUGGCGGUACCUGCAGAAGAAGCACCGGCUAACUACGUGCCAGCCGCCGCGGUAA
rnacentral:rRNA from 1 species